UAAGCAGAGUUUAAAUCUCAGCUUUCCUAUUUACUUGCUUUGUGACUGACCUGGGAAAGGUGGAAUGACUUCUCUAAGACCUCAGGUCCCUUAUCUGUAAAUGGGAAUGAUUCCAAAGGGUUCUUAGAAAAAUCAGAAACCACGCGAAAGCCCUCGGUGCCUGGGAGGCACCCGGUUCUAGGGCGAGGGUGCGUGGGGCAGGCGCAGGCUCUGAGCGCACGCCGCGCCCGCAGCCGCUGCCUGGGAGGGGCCGCAGCUCCGCAGCCUCGCCAGCACCCCAGAGCCGCCCCGGCCGCCCACCGGGGGCACUAAGUAAAUAAAGGACCGGUAGAGCCUGGAGCCUGGGCAUACUCUCUUCUCGGAGCCAAAGGCACUUGACCCUAAUAUGAACAUUUUCCGGUUCCCUUUUUGUCUUAAAAUUUGUUCUUAAUCAGCUUUAGUCAGUUCAGCUUUCCAGGACUUUCAACCCUCCUGCAGCAGGGCCUGAGCGCCGGCUGUUGUAAUCAGAGACCAACAGAGGGAGCCAGAGGCUCUGGUCACAGAGGCCGCGGCCUCCUUGGGGUGGGCGGGACGGCCUAGACUCCCUGCUUUUGUUCCGAGCAGCAGCCGCGAGGCAGUGCUGUCAGUGUGCGUCUCUGUUUACUGCUCUUUCGAGACGGUAGGUUUGGCCACAUGACGGGUACUUAUUCGGAAGACACAGAACCAAUCGCACUUGAAGGCAUGGGAAAGGCUAACAAUGGUCUAAAACUCUCUUGUAUGAAGAAUUCCGGACACACAAGUGGAUUUGAAGAUCCACAUAUUCAUCACCUGAUCCAGCAGGGUCACCCUGCUGCCUGAUGUGCAUGCGCAUGAGAUGGUCUGGGAACAACCGGCUUGGUCAGAGACAGUUCUCUCUGCAGCUCGGCGUUGGACAACCUGUUCUGCCGCAGUCUCAUAGAUGCCACUCCCAGGCUUAAUUUGCACUGUGUUGUGAGGACAGUGGAAGUCACUGAGGAGAGUCUACAGGAGA